rnacentral:rRNA from 1 species
GACGAACGCUGGCGGCGUGCUUAACACAUGCAAGUCGAACGAAGAGCGAUGGAAGCUUGCUUCUAUCAAUCUUAGUGGCGAACGGGUGAGUAACGCGUAAUCAACCUGCCCUUCAGAGGGGGACAACAGUUGGAAACGACUGCUAAUACCGCAUACGAUCUAAUCUCGGCAUCGAGGAAAGAUGAAAGGUGGCCUCUAUUUAUAAGCUAUCACUGAAGGAGGGGAUUGCGUCUGAUUAGCUAGUUGGAGGGGUAACGGCCCACCAAGGCGAUGAUCAGUAGCCGGUCUGAGAGGAUGAACGGCCACAUUGGGACUGAGACACGGCCCAGACUCCUACGGGAGGCAGCAGUGGGGAAUCUUCCGCAAUGGACGAAAGUCUGACGGAGCAACGCCGCGUGAGUGAUGACGGCCUUCGGGUUGUAAAGCUCUGUUAAUCGGGACGAAAGGCCUUCUUGCGAACAGUUAGAAGGAUUGACGGUACCGGAACAGAAAGCCACGGCUAACUACGUG